rnacentral:rRNA from 1 species
UACAGAGGGUGCGAGCGUUGUUCGGAAUUACUGGGCGUAAAGCGCGUGUAGGCGGCAAGGCAAGUCGGAUGUGAAAGCCCGCGGCUCAACCGUGGAAGUGCACUCGAAACUGCCUAGCUAGAGUCUCGGAGAGGAAGGUGGAAUGCUUGGUGUAGAGGUGAAAUUCGUAGAUAUCAAGCAGAACACCUGUGGCGAAGGCGGCCUUCUGGACGAUGACUGACGCUGAGACGCGAAAGCGUGGGGAGCAAACAGG